rnacentral:rRNA from 1 species
UACGAAGGGGGCUAGCGUUGUUCGGAAUUACUGGGCGUAAAGCGCGCGCAGGCGGCUAUCCAAGUCAGUGGUGAAAUCCUGGAGCUCAACUCCAGAACUGCCUUUGAUACUGAGAGCUUGAGUCCGGGAGAGGUGAGUGGAACUGCGAGUGUAGAGGUGAAAUUCGUAGAUAUUCGCAAGAACACCAGUGGCGAAGGCGGCUCACUGGCCCGAUACUGACGCUGAGGCACGAAAGCGUGGGGAGCAAACAGG